UACGGAGGGGGCCAGCGUUGUUCGGAAUUAUUGGGCGUAAAGGGCGCGUAGGCGGCUUGGUAAGUCAGUUGUGAAAUCCCUCGGCUCAACCGAGGAAUGGCGUCUGAGACUGCCAGGCUUGAGUCCCGGAGAGGGUAGCGGAAUUCCCAGUGUAGCGGUGAAAUGCGUAGAUAUUGGGAGGAACACCAGUGGCGAAGGCGGCUACCUGGACGGGCACUGACGCUGAGGCGCGAAAGCGUGGGGAGCAAACAGG
rnacentral:rRNA from 1 species